rnacentral:rRNA from 1 species
GACGAACGCUGGCGGCGUGCCUAACACAUGCAAGUCGAGCGGAGAUGUACUGAAGAUUUAUCGGAUGUACAUCUUAGCGGCGGACGGGUGAGUAACGCGUGGGCAACCUGCCUUUCACUGGGGGAUAACACAGGGAAACCUGUGCUAAUACCGCAUGACAUCAUGUAGGGCAUCCUAUGUGAUCAAAGGAGAGAUCCGGUGGAAGAUGGGCCCGCGUCCAAUUAGCUGGUUGGUGAGGUAAAGGCUCACCAAGGCGACGAUUGGUAGCCGAACUGAGAGGUUGAUCGGCCACAUUGGGACUGAGACACGGCCCAGACUCCUACGGGAGGCAGCAGUGGGGAAUAUUGCGCAAUGGGGGGAACCCUGACGCAGCAACGCCGCGUGAAGGAAGAAGGUCUUCGGAUUGUAAACUUCUUUGAUGAGGGACGAAUAAAGUGACGGUACCUCAAAAACAAGCCACGGCUAACUACGUGCCAGCAGCCGCGGU